rnacentral:rRNA from 1 species
GACGAACGCUGGCGGCGUGCUUAACACAUGCAAGUCGAACGGAAAGGCCUGCUUUCCCUUGUGGGUUGCGGGUACUCGAGUGGCGAACGGGUGAGUAACACGUGAGUGAUCUGCCCCCAACUUGGGUAUAAGCCUGGGAAACUGGGUCUAAUUCCCGAUAGGACUGCAGGGUGGUGCCUGUGGUGGAAAACGAUUUUCUAGUGGUUGGGGAUGAGCUCGCGGCCUAUCAGCUUGUUGGUGGGGUAAUGGCCUACCAAGGCGGCGACGGGUAGCCGGCCUGGGAGGGUGGACGGCCACAUUGGAACUGAGAUACGGCCCAGACGCCUGCGGGAGGAAGGAGUGGGGAAUAAUGCACAAUGGGCGGAAGCCUGAUGCAGCGACGCCGCGUGGGGGAUGACGGCCUUCGGGUUGUAAACUCCUUUCGACCGCGAGGAAGCCACCUGGUUGGAAGGGUGGUGACGGUAGUGGUAGAAGAAGCACCGGCUAACUACGUG